rnacentral:lncRNA from 11 species
CUUUGCGAGAUACCAAGACUUCCUUUCCCUGAAUGCCAGAUUCAAUGCGUGGGAUGUCCUUGGGAACCUCACCGUGAAGCAACUUGCACAACUGUCGGCCUCCGCAGGCGCCUUGAGGACUC